UGAGAAAAGAUGAAGCAAACGUAGUGGAACU
rnacentral:piRNA from 1 species